AUUAAAACAGAUCCAGUCACUGGAAGAUCAAGAGGAUUUGGAUUUGUGCUUUUCAAAGAUGCUGCUAGUGUGGAUAAGGUUUUGGAACUGAAGGAACACAAACUGGAUGGCAAAUUGAUAGACCCCAAAAGGGCCAAAGCUUUAAAGGGGAAAGAACCCCCUAAAAAGGUUUUUGUGGGUGGAUUGAGUCCAGAUACUUCAGAAGAACAAAUUAAAGAAUAUUUUGGAGCCUUCGGAGAGGUGGGCCGUGUUUGUACUCGUGUGUCUGAUUGUACUCAUGUUUGGUCACGUGUGUAGGGUUCGUUAAUAUUUCACAGGAUGGGGCUGAAUUACUGCUGGGUGUCUUCACCUACUGUCUCUUACUGUCUGUGCUGUAGUGGAAAGCACG
rnacentral:lncRNA from 1 species